AACGUAGGAGACAAACGUUAUCCGGAGUUACUGGGCGUAAAGGGCGUGUAGGUGGUUUCGUAAGUCUGGCGUGAAAUUUCUCGGCUUAACCGAGGCAGGUCGUCGGAUACUGCGGAACUAGAGGACGGUAGAGGCGUGUGGAAUUCCGGGUGUAGUGGUGAAAUGCGUAGAUAUUCGGAAGAACACCAGUGGCGAAGGCGACUCGCUGGACAAGUAUUGACGCUGAGGUGCGAAAGCGUGGGGAGCAAACAGG
rnacentral:rRNA from 1 species